CUUAGUUCAAGGUGACCCCCACCCAGCAGGCCAAUGGCUUUCCCUAACCCCAGGCGCCUGCCUUAUAUAACAAAGGACAAGACCACCUUGGAGGCCCUUCAGUUGCUGGCCACACUUUCUGUACCAUCUUUGAAGAGGAUGUGGGCGGAACAUUUGAACUUGACAUUCAAAGGAACUUCAAGGUGCACUCCGGAAACCUUUGAAAUUCAGGACUGGAGAACUGAAGAGUGAUGGAGAGGCAGACAGGAAGGAUGCUGAGGGUCCCUGAGACACAGUGCUGGGUCAUCUCCAACCUGUUAGCCUUUAAACCUGCCAACAUCUUCCUUUGCUUUCUGAGGGACAGUGUCGGAGGCUUUCUGGAGUGGCCAGGCUUAGCCCAUGAAAAGGCUUAUCUCAUGUGCUUCAAAGAAAUGAAAACUCCGUUGUUGGGCUGACUUUGAAGUCUUGCUACACGGGUUUUGGAAUGGUGAAGGCUGACCUCAA
rnacentral:lncRNA from 1 species